rnacentral:tRNA from 1 species
GUUAAUAUAGUUUAACAAAAACAUUAGGUUGUGGUCCUAAAAAUAGAAGUUUAACUCUUCUUAUUUA